GACGAACGCUGGCGGCGUGCUUAACACAUGCAAGUGGAGCGACGAACCAGGCUUGCCUGGGGCAAAGCCGCGAACGGGUGAGUAACACGUGGGUAAUCUGCCCCGAUGACCGGGACAACCCGAGGAAACUCGGGCUAAUACCGGAUGUGGUGCACACACAUAAGUGUGUUCACUAAAGGAAGCUUCGGCCUCCGCAUCGGGAGGGGCCCGCGGCCCAUUAGCUUGUUGGUGGGGUCAUGGCCUACCAAGGCAACGAUGGGUAGCUGGUCUGAGAGGACGAGCAGCCACACUGGGACUGAGACACGGCCCAGACUCCUACGGGAGGCAGCAGUGGGGAAUCUUGCGCAAUGCGCGAAAGCGUGACUCAGCAACGCCGCGUGAGGGAAGAAGGCCUUCGGGUUGUAAACCUCUUUCAGGAGGGACGAAGGCCGGCCGGCGAAUAGCCGAGUCGGUUGACGGUACCUCCAGAAGAAGCUCCGGCUAACUACGUGCCAGCAGCCGCGGUAAGAC
rnacentral:rRNA from 1 species